GGUACACAAAUUUAACCACUUGUGUACCUUAAAAGCCACCCAUGUUCCUUUGUUUUAGUUGGAUCAAGUUUACAUACAUUUUUUUUUAUAUCCAAUGAGAUUGAUUCUCUGCAUAACCUGGACAUGGGUGCAUUUUAGAUAGAAAAUGUUUUAUAAUUUGUUUGGGCUCCUAAAUUGAAUAUUAAAAUGAUUUCCUACCCAUAAUUUCAAUUGUUUCACAAAUAAUUGGAGCCUGGAGGCGUUUGUUAUCAAUCUAGUAAAAUGGAUUUUACUACAAUUAAUAUGCCAAAUUGGUUUGUUAAUCAACAAGUCUGCAACCGUCAAUAUGCCAUAGAUUUCCAAAACAACCAAGUAAAAACCAUUUAUGCUUCAACCAUUAUCACUCUAAAUCCUACUUUUGCAAGUGAUAACCAUAGUCCCUG
rnacentral:lncRNA from 1 species